rnacentral:rRNA from 1 species
GGCCUAGUUGUGCGGUCAGCCUCACGGCUCGUACUGCUCUGACUGGGCCUUUCCUUCUGGGGAACUAUGUUUGCAUUCACUUGCAGGCAUAGGGAUCCAGGACUUUUACUUUGAGAAAAUUAGAGUGUUUAAAGCAGGCAUUUGCUUGAAUACGUUAGCAUGGAAUAAUAGAAUAGGACUUUGGUUCUAUUUUGUUGGUUUCUAGGACCGAAGUA